CGCGGCGUGGGGCGGGGCGCGGCCCUGCUGCUCAACCCCACCCCCGGCGAGCUCCUCCGGCGCCGGCGGUUGGUGGGGGCGGGGC
rnacentral:miRNA from 14 species